rnacentral:rRNA from 1 species
GAUGAACGCUGGCGGCGUGCUUAACACAUGCAAGUCGAACGAAGCACUUAUCUUUGAUUCUUCGGAUGAAGAGGUUUGUGACUGAGUGGCGGACGGGUGAGUAACGCGUGGGUAACCUGCCUCAUACAGGGGGAUAACAGUUAGAAAUGACUGCUAAUACCGCAUAAGACCACGGAGCCGCAUGGCUCAGUGGGAAAAACUCCGGUGGUAUGAGAUGGACCCGCGUCUGAUUAGGUAGUUGGUGGGGUAACGGCCUACCAAGCCAACGAUCAGUAGCCGACCUGAGAGGGUGACCGGCCACAUUGGGACUGAGACACGGCCCAAACUCCUACGGGAGGCAGCAGUGGGGAAUAUUGCACAAUGGGGGAAACCCUGAUGCAGCGACGCCGCGUGAGCGAAGAAGUAUUUCGGUAUGUAAAGCUCUAUCAGCAGGGAAGAAAAUGACGGU